UUGACUUCUACUAUGCUCUGAUAUCAGAAUAGGAUUCUUUUAUGUUUUACUCCUAUCGACUUAUUUGUUGUAGACGCCUUAUAUACUGCAGGUGUAUGGCGGGUCUGUGCACGUACAGGAUAUGCUUCCGCUGGUACUCGUGCGUGACAUGUACCCCGAUAGAAAGUACCAUAAAAGGAAAAAAGAAAAAAUAGAAAGUACAUUUUGGAUUAUAUUUGGAAUGACAUGUAAAUGAAUAAAAAGAAUAAUGUAAUAGCUAGUUUUAUUUUUGUUAGUUGAUAUCUUUCUUAUUCAAUCAUUGUUUGUAUGGUUCCUAUUUGGAAUGCAUUCUAUAGUUGUGUGCAAGGUUCCUAUUUGGAAUGCAUUCUAUAGGUUGUGAUGCCUUGGGCGGAUAAAAAAAACUCUGUCAUUUGGCGGAUCUGUACGUGUGUCCAGUAAUUCUUCCAUUGCAGGCCGGAGUCCUAAUAGACUUAGGUGGUAUCAGAGUAUAGAAAAAGUCUAGAUAACUAGGAUGGAUAACCAUAAGGACCUAUAUGAUGCCUCACUUCCUAGAGGGUCUCCCAUCCUUGGACUACUUUCGUCCUAGUAUGCUUAACUCACUUAACCUCUUGGACCUUAACCUCUUAGACAUAGCCAUCUCCCAAAAUGCUAUAGUCGGGUUAAGAGUUUUUAGCCAUAUUAUAUCUUAUAUAUAGGACUACCUGGGGGGCUCACAUUCUCCCAUCUUUUAAGUCCUGAUGUCCAGGCGAUUUGAGACUCAUCUCGCUAAACUUAACCGACUUUAUGGGGGAGCGGUGCU
rnacentral:lncRNA from 1 species